rnacentral:lncRNA from 1 species
UAAAUAUCAACAUCAUACCCACUUGAUUGGUCCAUCUCAUUGCGCAGCCGCUUCUUCCUCCUCCUUCCAACCUUGUUUUUCUUCUUGUCAUUGUCAGGAAUGUAGUCAUGGUCAUUGUACCCCGGCCAAUGCGUCUCAUCUAAAAUAGGCUCGAAACGGGACUCCCAUGUCUUCAAUACUGUAUUCUUAGAAUACAGUUGUGUCAUAUAUGCC